UAUAGCCUGAAAUGUUCGGAGUAUCCUAUUAUUUUGAACCUACAUUUGACAUAAGGGAGUUUGGAGUUUAAAAGCAGGAUGUCAGGCCACAAGUUAAUUCCGACACAUAUCUUUAAGAUAAGUGCAACGGCAGUGGAAGGCUGAGGCUUUUAACAGGACACCCACCUAGCUUGGGCUAGGUGUCAAAAUAUAGGUGAACGGCAUUUUGGGUAUAAU
rnacentral:other from 1 species